rnacentral:rRNA from 1 species
AUACGGAGGGUGCGAGCGUUAAUGGGAAUUACUGGGCGUAAAGGGUGCGUAGGCGGCUUGAUAAGUCGGAUGUGAAAGCCCCGGGCUUAACCUGGGAAUUGCAUUCGAUACUGUCAGGCUAGAGUAUGUCAGAGGUUGGCGGAAUUCCUGGUGUAGCGGUGAAAUGCGUAGAUAUCAGGAGGAACACCAGUGGCGAAGGCGGCUAACUGGGGCAAUACUGACGCUGAGGCACGAAAGCGUGGGGAGCAAACAGGAUUAGAAACCCUAGUAGUCC